GGAUACGGCCAUACUGCGCAGAAAGCACCGCUUCCCAUCCGAACAGCGAAGUUAAGCUGCGCCAGGCGGUGUUAGUACUGGGGUGGGCGACCACCCGGGAAUCCACCGUGCCGCAUCCU
rfam:Acanthamoeba castellanii str. Neff unplaced genomic scaffold scf7180000084776, whole genome shotgun sequence.